GAUGGAGUCCUGUGUAUCAGGUCAGUGGGACAGAGUUGGACCAGUGGAAGUGGACGACAUCAGGAGAGACCUGCUGAGAGACUUCACUGACCUCCCACCACAGGAGCGGUCAGAGUCUCAGGUGGAGAACCUGCAGGUGUAUCUGAGGGUUCGUCCUCUGACGGCAGCAGAGAGCAGCGCUCACGCUCAGGACUGUGUGACCCUCGAGGGCCCAGAGACAGCGGUCCUGAAGGCUCCCAGGAUCAGCCAAUCAAACAAGCAGAGUGACAAGCCCCUCCCACAAACUGCACAGAGGUUCACCUUCACACAGGUGUUCGGUCCAGAGGCGGGGCAGAGGACGGUGUUUGAUGGUUCUGUUCGUGCUUCAGUCAGAGAUGUUCUGGAAGGAGGAAACUGUCUGGUGUUUACUUACGGAGUCACCAA